GGCACUAUAGCCAAGUGGUUAAGGCGACAGAUUAGAAUACUAUGCUAUGAUAAAUUCAUCUGUUACUCUCUGAGUGCGCAGGUUCAAAUCCUGCUGGUGUCG